UCGGAAUUAUUGGGCGUAAAGGGCGCGUAGGCGGCUUUGCAAGUGACGGGUGAAAUCCCUCGGCUUAACCGAGGAACUGCCUGUCAAACUGCAUGGCUUGAGACCGGGAGAGGUGAGUGGAAUUCCCAGUGUAGCGGUGAAAUGCGUAGAUAUUGGGAGGAACACCAGUGGCGAAGGCGGCUCACUGGACCGGUACUGACGCUGAUGCGCGAAAGCGUGGGGAGCAAACAGG
rnacentral:rRNA from 1 species